UUAAUCAAGUAGAUGUCCCACUAGGAAUUUGCUCCAUAUACCCAGUUGGCGACACCCCUUUAGCGCUCCGAGCGCCACCACAGUCAAGUUACAGGGUUUCCAUGAUACCAACGGAGGUGGUGGCUGUUUGUGGCGGUGAGUGAGUUGCAACAAACGAUUUUCGAGAGGCGUAAACAGGGACUCUGCCGGGAACCGAUGGUCCGUUAAUGUGAAGUCUGCACCAGCAAACUGGUUACGCC